rnacentral:lncRNA from 1 species
UUUAUACGGCGCGACUUUCGGCGUUUCGGAUCUAAUUAGAGCUUGAGUUCUUUUGAGAGAUCUUCUUGUACUCCGCAUUUUCGACAUUAAUAAAUUAUUUGCUCCGUCUUCGCCCGUGGACGUAGGCCGUUGGCCGAACCACGUAAAUAUCGGUGUGUUCUUUCCUUAUCUUUUCUUUUCUUGCAUUAAAUUAUUUUCUCGAUCUAUUUUUCGCCGUUCCGAUUUUAACACUUUUUUAAAAAAAUCAUGUUAUGUUUAAGGCAAAACUUCAUUUAGGCCUUUUGUAAUAUAUAAUUUGUUAUCUUGUGGUCAGAAAAGUAUCACAUUAUCAU